AGCAGCCGCGGUAAUUCCAGCUCCAAUAGCGUAUAUUAAAGUUGUUGCAGUUAAAAAGCUCGUAGUUGAAUUUCGGGAUCAGUUGAUCGGUCGUGCCUCGGUACGUACUGGUCAAAUUGAUUCCUACCUUCUGACGAACCACGAUGUCAUUAAUUUGGUGUCGCGGGAAAUCAGGACUGUUACUUUGAAAAAUUAGAGUGUUUAAAGCAGGCUCGCGCUUGAAUACAUUAGCAUGGAAUAAUGAAAUAGGACGUUUGAUUCUAUUUUGUUGGUUUCUAGGAUCGACGUAAUGAUUAAUAGGGAUAGUUGGGGGCAUUAGUAUUCAAUUGUCAGAGGUGAAAUUCUUGGAUUUAUUGAAGACUAACUACUGCGAAAGCAUUUGCCAAGGAUGUUUUCAUUAAUCAAGAACGAAGUUAGGGGAUCGAAGACGAUCAGAUACCGUCGUAGUCUUAACCAUAAACUAUGCCGACUAGGGAUCGGAUGAUGUUAAUUUAAUGAUCAUCGCGCCUUAAC
rnacentral:misc_RNA from 1 species